rnacentral:rRNA from 1 species
ACUCCUACGGGAGGCAGCAGUAGGGAAUCUUCCACAAUGGGCGAAAGCCUGAUGGAGCAAUGCCGCGUGAGUGAAGAAGGUUUUCGGAUCGUAAAACUCUGUUGUUGAAGAAGAACAUGCGUGAGAGUAACUGUUCACGUACUGACGGUAUUCAACCAGAAAGCCACGGCUAACUACGUGCCAGCAGCCGCGGUAAUACGUAGGUGGCAAGCGUUGUCCGGAUUUAUUGGGCGUAAAGAGAAUGUAGGCGGUUUAUUAAGUUUGAAGUGAAAGCCCUCGGCUCAACCGAGGAAGUGCUUCGAAAACUGGUAAACUUGAGUGCAGAAGAGGAAAGUGGAACUCCAUGUGUAGCGGUGGAAUGCGUAGAUAUAUGGAAGAACACCAGUGGCGAAGGCGGCUUUCUGGUCUGUAACUGACGCUGAGAUUCGAAAGCAUGGGUAGCAAACAGGAUUAGAUACCCUGGUAGCGACUGA